rnacentral:lncRNA from 1 species
CAACAACAGAUUCCAAGAGCUGCACAUAAGUCACCUUUGCACUUGCUGAGCCCACACGGUCAUUUCUGCAGACAGAUCUAAGGCCCUUUGUAUACUGUAAGGACAUGGAAGGUGCUGCUGGGAGCCCAGGCUGGCCACAGCAGGCUGUCAACCUCAACGAGGAAGAAGGGACACCUGAGAACCUUCAAAGGCGACACUGGAAUCCCGGUGGGACAAGGCCAAGUAAUUCCCUAGGCCAUCAGCCUGAGGGUAGCAGUCACUCAGAUCAGGACUGACUGUGUCAGAGGAAGAUGGACACUGAGACAGAGUCCGUCUCCGGAGAAGUGUACCCACACCACGACAGCAUCCCCUGGCAGAGAUACAGACUUUCUGUUUAGUGGAACACCAGCUCCUAUCACUUCUGGGUCAUUUAAAAU